rnacentral:rRNA from 1 species
AUGAACGCUAGCGACAGGCCGUAACACAUAGCAAGUCAGGGGGCAGCGACAAGGAGCGAAUACUGAGGUGGCGACCGGCGCACGGGUGAGUAACACGUAUGCAACCUGCCUGUAAGCGGGGAAUAACCCGUUGAAAGACGGACUAAUACCGCAUAAUACUAAAUUACUGCAUGGUAAUUUAUUUAAACAUUUAUGGCUUACAAAUGGGCAUGCGCAUGAUUAGCUAGUUGGAGAGGUAACGGCUCCCCAAGGCAACGAUCAUUAGGGGUUCUGAGAGGAAGGUCCCCCACACUGGUACUGAGACACGGACCAGACUCCUACGGGAGGCAGCAGUGAGGAAUAUUGGUCAAUGGACGAGAGUCUGAACCAGCCAAGUCGCGUGCAGGAAGAAUGUCCUUAAUGGAUUGUAAACUGCUUUUGCAGGGGAAUAAAGUGCAUCACGUGUGAUGUUUUGUAUGUACUCUGCGAAUAAGGAUCGGCUAACUCCGUGCCAGCAGCUGC